rnacentral:rRNA from 1 species
GACUUCCCCGCUGUCUCCAGCAUAGACUCAGUGAAAUUGAAUUCCCCGUGAAGAUGCGGGGUUCCUGCGGUUAGACGGAAAGACCCCGUGCACCUUUACUAUAGCUUUACAUUGGCAUUCGUAGCGGCAUGUGUAGGAUAGGUGGUAGGCUUUGAAGCCGGGGCGCCAGCCUUGGUGGAGCCACCCUUGAAAUACCACCCUUAUCUCUAUGGAUGUCUAACCGCGGCCCGUUAUCCGGGUCCGGGACAAUGUAUGGUGGGUAGUUUGACUGGGGCGGUCGCCUCCUAAAGAGUAACGGAGGCGCGCGAUGGUGGGCUCAGAACGGUCGGAAAUCGUUCGCUGAGUGCAAUGGCAUAAGCCUGCCUGACUGCGAGACUGACAAGUCGAGCAGAGACGAAAGUCGGUCAUAGUGAUCCGGUGGUCCCGAGUGGAAGGG